UUGACCUCAAAUCAGGUAGGACUACCCGCUGAACUUAAGCAUAUCAAUAAGCGGAGGAAAAGAAACUAACAAGGAUUCCCUCAGUAACUGCGAGUGAAGUGGGAAAAGCUCAAAUUUGAAAUCUGGCAGCUCUUUCAGGUUGUCUGAGUUGUAAUCUAGAGAAGUGUUACCUGUGUUGGACCGUGUAAAAGUCUUCUGGAAUGGAGCAUCAUAGAGGGUGAGAAUCCCGUCUUUGACAUGGACUACCAGCAUGCCAAGGUGCACUCUCAAAGAGUCGAGUUGUUUGGGAAUGCAGCUCAAAAUGGGUGGUAAAUGCCAUCUAAAGCUAAAUAUUGGCGAGAGACCGAUAGCGAACAAGUACCGUGAGGGAAAGAUGAAAAGAACUUUGGAAAGAGAGUUAAACAGUACGUGAAAUUGCUGAAAGGGAAACGCUUAAAGUCAGUCGCAUUAGCUGGAAAUCAGGCUUGCUUUUGCAAGGUGCACUUUCUAGUUGAUGGGUCAGCAUCAAUUUUGAUUGUUGGAUAAAGUCAUUGGGAAUGUGGCAUCUUUGGAUGUGUUAUAGCCCAGUGUUGAAUACAGCGGUCAGGAUUGAGGAAUUCAGCAUGCCUCUAGGGGCCAGGUUUCGACCAUGUUCAUGCUUAGGAUGCUGGCAUAAUGGCUUUAAUCGACCCGU
rnacentral:rRNA from 1 species